UGACAGCCUGCAGUAACAAGUGAAAGAUACCAACAUCCAUCAGCAUCCUCUCCAUGACAGCCUGCAGUAACAAGUGAAAGAUACCAACACCCAUCAGCAACCUCUCCAUGACAACCUACAGUAACAAGUGAAAGAUACCAACAUCCAUCAGCAUCCUCUCCAUGACAGCCUGCAGUAAUAAGUGAAAGAUACCAACAUCCAUCAGCAUCCUCUCCAUGACAGCCUACAGUAACAGGUGAAAGAUACCAACAGAAAGGGACAGAAUUCCAGCAUUCCACACAAAUCUCCAGUGAUCGCUGUCACAACACAGACUCCAGGGAGGACUGAAGAAUAAUAAAACGGCAAAUGCAGAUACUGUUGAUUCCAGGGCAACACCAAGUGCCUGGUGCCAUGCGUCACCCUGCAAGGGUGGGAACACCACAUUGCACAGGCGAAGGAGCAGAAACGCAGCCCAAGGCAGGAAGCUGCUGCCUAUGACCUGGGUAAGGGCCCAGGGGACUGGGCGCGUGAGCAGCGUGUGCUCAACAGCGCCAAGCUGAGGGCUGCGGCGACAGGCAUAGCAAGAUGGAUUCAGUCUCUACCUCAGUGCUUCUUGUGUGGAAGACAGUGAAGACUGCGUUCCGGACAGGGAUGCAUACAAUGGAACUGGAGUUCUCUCAGCAGACGAGCAGGAGUUCUAAAAAACCCCGCGGUACUCUGCCGUCUCCUGGGCUGGAGCCUGGCCCUACACAGCCCUUUCAGAUAAAUCCUGCUCCUUGAAUGCCAGUUUUGAGGCUUAGGGAUUAAACCUCACUGCUAUAGAUUUCAGA